GUGUCAGCAGCCGCGGUAAUACGUGGGGUGCAAGCGUUGUUCGGAAUUACUGGGCGUAAAGCGUGUGUAGGCGGCUCGUUAAGUCUGGUGUGAAAUCUCCGAGCUUAACUCGGAAACUGCAUCGGAAACUGGCGAGCUCGAGUCCGGGAGAGGGUGGUGGAAUUCCUGGUGUAGAGGUGAAAUUCGUAGAUAUCAGGAGGAACACCGGUGGCGAAGGCGGCCACCUGGACCGGUACUGACGCUGAGACACGAAAGCGUGGGGAGCAAACAGGAUUAGAAACCCCCGUAGUCC
rnacentral:rRNA from 1 species